UACGUAGGGGGCAAGCGUUGUCCGGAAUUAUUGGGCGUAAAGAGCGUGUAGGCGGUCCGGUAAGUCAGCUGUGAAAGUCAAGGGCUCAACCCUUGAAUGCCGGUUGAUACUGUCGGGCUAGAGUCCGGAAGAGGCGAGUGGAAUUCUCGGUGUAGCGGUGAAAUGCGUAGAUAUCGAGAGGAACACCUGCGGCGAAGGCGGGUUGCUGGGCCGACACUGACGCUGAUGCGCGAAAGCCAGGGGAGCGAACGGG
rnacentral:rRNA from 1 species